UAGGGAAUCUUCGGCAAUGGACGGAAGUCUGACCGAGCAACGCCGCGUGAGUGAAGAAGGGUUUCGGAUCGUAAAGCUCUGUUGUGAGAGAAGAACGUUGGUAGGAGUGGAAAAUCUACCAAGUGACGGUAACUAACCAGAAAGGGACGGCUAACUACGUGCCAGUAGCCGCGGUAAUACGUAGGUCCCGAGCGUUGUCCGGAUUUAUUGGGCGUCAAGCGGGCGCAGGCGGUUCUUUAAGUCUGAAGUUAAAGGCAGUGGCUUAACCCUUGUACGCUUUGGACACUGGAGGACUUGAGUGCAGGAGGGGAGAGUGGAUUUCCAUGUGUAGCGGUAAAUUGCGUAUAUAUGUGGAGGAACCCCGGUCGCGAACGCGGCUCUCUGGUCUGUCACUGACGCUGAGGCUCGAAAGCGUGGGGAGCAAACAGG
rnacentral:rRNA from 1 species